rnacentral:rRNA from 1 species
GACGAACGCUGGCGGCGUGCUUAACACAUGCAAGUCGAGCGGGUAAGGCCCUUUCGGGGGUACACGAGCGGCGAACGGGUGAGUAACACGUGGGUGACCUGCCCUCAGCUCUGGGAUAAGCCUGGGAAACUGGGUCUAAUACUGGAUAUGACUCCACGGUGCAUGUCGUGGGGUGGAAAGGCCUUGUGCGGCUGAGGAUGGGCCCGCGGCCUAGUCAGCUUGUUGGUGGGGGUGANGGCCUACCAAGGCGACGACGGGUAGCCGGCCUGAGAGGGCGACCGGCCGACACUGGGACUGAGACACGGCCCAGACUCCUACGGGAGGCAGCAGUGGGGAAUCUUGCGCAAUGGGCGAAAGCCUGACGCAGCGACGCCGCGUGAGGGAUGACGGCCU